rnacentral:lncRNA from 1 species
AUCGAUUGAAAGUGCAGCGGGAUAUUUACGCCCCAAACUACGGAUGUCGUAUUCUCCUUAGGGACUAGGCGACAACAGUCGUGCUCGGCUAAAGCCAGAUCAGACGAAAAGGUUUUUGAUAUUGCAAGACAAACGAAAAUAAAGCAAGUUUGUUCCAGAAAAUCAUUGACAAAUAAGAUGUACUCACUAUAUUUUUGGUAUUUUUAUUUGUUUUACUUUGGGAACUAAAAUACUAGCACAUGCUAACAUGAGAAACAAGGAAAACUACAAGACAGCAACACAUAUAUGUUCAGCAACUAGUAUGAAAGAAAAGAAUUAAGAUCAAGGGACAAGAACAGAAGUACUUCACAUCACAAGCAUAUAUAUACUCACACGUACAUAGCUAACACAGGGACUAAGAAUUAAAGAUGUUCAAACUACUCACUUGACAGAGAGCACAAACAACACAAAAAUAGACAAGUAAGCUAGGUUCUUACAAAUGACUAGUUGAUAAACAGAGCACAUAUAUUGAACAGUACUACUAGACAAAUCUGAACAACACAUGCCAUACAAAUCUCAAUUCUAAACAUUACAAAAUACUAAACAUUAUACUACUCAAGAUUACAGAAAUUUGAGAGAGAGAAACAACAGCAGCAAGUUAGGGAAGUUGAGCGGAGGAGGAGCAGCGAAGGGGUUCAGAGAGAAAGAGAGAGACAGCAGGGGCGGCAGUAAGUUCAGAGAAGGAGCAGCAGCAGUAGGUUCAGAGAAAGAGUAGCAGUAGGUUCAGAGAAGGAGCGGCAAUAAGGUUUGGGAAGAAGAGGCAGCAGGGGAAAGGAGUAGUAGAAGCAGCGUGGAGGCGCAGGGGAGAAGAGAGCAACAACAGUUUGAGGCGAGGGAAGAAGAGAAGCAGCAGUAGGUUCAGAGAAGGCUUCAACAGAGGCGCAACAUGUAGUUUGGAGAUGGAGAAGGAGUUCGGGUUCAGGGAGCAACAACAGAGGUGAGGAAGAAGAGGGUAGCAGUAGGAGGACUGGAGGAUGGUGUGGUGGCGCUGGAUAUGGUGAUGGAUGGUGUGUGGCGGCGGUGCUGGAGAUGGUGAUGGAUGGCGCGGUGGUUCGAGGUGGUGAUGCGGCGCUGGUAGUGGCGGGUGGUGGAGAUGGAGUGGAUGAUGGAGUGGUGGCUGGAUGGACGGCGCUGGGCGCUGGUGGCGCACCUACCACGCCGGCCUGGCCAUGGCGGCGGCCAGAGGUGGAGAAGAAGGGUAAGGGAAAGAGAGAGAUGCCAGGCCCGAUUUGGGGAUUGAGAGCGCUAGGGAUUUGAUCCCCUUAAUCAGAUCUUCCCCUUUGCAAUCUGGCCCCUCUCCUUUUCUUCCUUCUGCACAAGUUGGUCCUCCUCUUAUUUAGGCAAACCCUUCAAGCUUUAGUGUUCAUCACACUUGGGUCCCUCCAUCUUUCUGUCCUGCCCUUGUCUCUUCUCAUCAGCCCCAUAGUCCAAAUUUUGAAGUUUAUAGGCCUUUUCGCCCUAUUCUGCAAAAUAAACAAAUUACUAGUCACGAGCUCUUUCGUGAAUAUCAUUUGAAUAUUCGAUAAUUCUAAGCAAGGAUAGAUUGACAUAUCUCAAUAAAUGGUGUAUAUGUGUGCCCAAAUCGUAUAUAUGAAAUGUGCUUAUCAAGUACCCCCACACUUAAAUCUUUGCUUGUCCUCAAGCAAAGGCAUUUGACAAGAGCAAGGUAGUGAUCAGCGAACUGACUAGAGAAUGUCCCAGUGAAGUAGAUCUCCAAACAAUGCAUGCUUUGAACUUUUGCUAGUGAAAAUCAAUGGUUAAGAGUGCUACAAAGCAGUAUGAUACUAGUAAGCAUGACCAUUUUUAACUUUUACAAUGAUAAAAGAGGAUCAACAAGUUUAAAUGAUGACUGUGCCAAAUGGUUCCUAAAGAGAGCAUGAUCUCGAGAACAAAAUGAACUGGAAUUAAAUCUUGUGAUCAAUCGAUCAUUUUGGCGCCUAUCACGCGGGUGACCUGAGUUCGAUCCCCGGCAACGGCGCCAAAAUGAUCGAUUGAAAGUGCAGCGGGAUAUUUACGCCCCAAACUACGGAUGUCGUAUUCUCCUCAGGGACUAGGCAACGACAGUCGUGCUCGGCCAAAGCUAGAUCUGACGAAAAGGUUUUUGAUAUUGCAAAACAAACGAAAAUAAAGCAAGUUUGUUCCAGAAAAUCAUUGACAAAUAAGAUGUACUCACUAUAUUUUUGGUAUUUUUAUUUGUUUUACUUUGGUAACUAAAAUACUAGCACAUGCUAACAUGAGAAACAAGGAAAACUGCUAGACAGCAACACAUAUAUGUUCAGCAACUAGUAUGAAAGAAAAGAAUUAAUAUCAAGGGACAAGAACAGAAGUACUUCACAUCACAAGCAUAUAUAUACUCACACGUACAUAGCUAACACAUGGACUAAGAAUUAAAGAUGUUCAAACUACUCACUUGACAGAGAGCACAAACAACACAAAAAUAGACAAGUAAGCUAGGUUCUUACAAAUGACUAGUUGAUAAACAGAGCACAUAUAUUGAACAGUACUACUAGACAAAUCUGAACAACACAUGCCAUACAAAUCUCAAUUCUAAACAUUACAAAAUACUAAACAUUAUACUACUCAAGAUUACAGAAAUUUGAGAGAGAGAGAAACAGCAGCGGCAAGUUAGGGAAGUUGAGCGAAGGACUAGCAGCGAAGGGGUUCAGAGAGAAAGUGAGAGACAGCAGGGGCAGCAGUAAGUUCAGAGAAGGAGCAGCAGCAGUAGGUUCAGAGAAAGAGUAGCAGUAGGUUCAGAGAAGGAGCGGCAGCAUGGUUUGGGAAGAAGAGGCAGUAGGGUAAAGGAGUAGUAGAAGCAGCGUGGAGGCGCAGAGGAGAAGAGAGCAACAGCAGUUUGAGGCGAGGGAAGAAGAGAAGCAGCAGUAGGUUCAGAGAAGGCUUCAGCAGAGGCGCAGCAUGCAGUUUGGAGAUGGAGAAGGAGUUCGGGUUCAGGGGAGCAACAACGGAGGUGAGGAAGAAGAGGGUAGCAGUAGGAGGACUGGAGGAUGGUGUGGUGGCGUUGGAUAUGGUGAUGGAUGGUGUGCGGUGGCGGUGCUGGAUGGCGCGGUGGUUCGAGGUGGUGAUGCGGCGCUGGCAGCGACGGUUGGUGGAGAUGGAGUGGAUGAUGGAGUGGUGGCUGGAUGGAUGGCGCUGGUUGCUGGUGGUGCACCUACCAUGCCAGCCUGGCCAUGGCGGCGGCCGGAGGUGGAGAAGGAGGGUAAGGGAAAGAGAGAGAGAUGCCAGACCCGAUUUGGGGAUUGAGAGCGCUAGGGAUUUGAUCCCCUCGAUCAGAUCUUCCCCUUUGCAAUCUGGCCCCUCUCCUUUUCUUCCUUCUGCACAAGUUGGUCCUCCUCUUAUUUAGGCAAACCCUUCAAGCUUUAGUGUACAUCACACUUGGGUCCCUCCAUCUUUCUGUCGUGCCCUUGUCUCUUCUCAUUAGCCCCAUAGUCCAAAUCUUGAAGUUUAUAGGCCUUUUCGCCUUAUUCUGCAAAAUAAACAAAUUACUAGUCACAUGCUCUUUCGUGAAUAUCAUUUGAAUAUUCGAUAAUUCUAAGAAAGAAUAGAUUAACAUAUCUCAAUAAAUGGUGCAUAUGUGUGCCCAAAUCGUAUAUAUGAAAUGUGCUUAUCAAGUACCCCCACACUUAAAUCUUUGCUUGUCCUCAUGCAAAGGCAUUUGACAAGAGCAAGGUAGUGAUCAGCGAACUAACUAGAGAAUGUCCCAGUGAAGUAGAUCUCCAAACAAUGCAUGCUUUGAACUUUUGCUAGUGAAAAUCAAUGGUUAAGA